rnacentral:rRNA from 1 species
AUACGUAGGGGGCGAGCGUUGUCCGGAAUGAUUGGGCGUAAAGGGCGCGUAGGCGGCGCGGUAAGUCUGGAGUGAAAGUCCUGCUUUCAAGGUGGGAAUUGCUUUGGAUACUGCCGCGCUUGAGUGCAGGAGAGGUUAUCGGAAUUCCCGGUGUAGCGGUGAAAUGCGUAGAGAUCGGGAGGAACACCAGUGGCGAAGGCGGGUAACUGGACUGCAACUGACGCUGAGGCGCGAAAGUGUGGGUAGCAAACAGGAUUAGAUACCCUGGUAGUCCACACUGUAAACGAUGAAUGCUAGGUGUAGGGGGUAUCGACCCCUUCUGUGCCGCAGUCAACACAAUAAGCAUUCCGCCUGGGGAGUACGGCCGCAAGGUUAAAACUCAAAUGAAUUGGCGGGG